CCAAUCUGGCUGAUGAUGAGAGUACAGGGGACCUGUUCAGGAGCCACCCCAAAGAAAGAGAACAUUGGGAGAAGACACACGACACCAUUUGGCACUGGAGGUAUGUGACACCAUUAUGAGCCAUGCCAAGGAGAGGUUUUCUUUCACCAAGCACCUCGUCAGCGCCACUCUGUUGCAAGGAGACUUGUUCCAACAACACAGCAAGAAGUUCCCAGAUUCAGCACUUAAAACAGAAUCGUCCCUGAUCUACGAGAACGAGGAGUUCCAGAGUUGCAGUGGUGCACUGGCUCUCUAUCAGGUUUUGAUGGAAAACAACCUUCAAGACACAGUCACCGAAACUGUAAGUCUUCUGAACAUCCUCAUCACCACACCAAUGACAACAUCAGAAUCGGAGAGGUGCUUCUCUACUU